rnacentral:rRNA from 1 species
CAGCAGCCACGGUAAUACGUAGGGGGCAAGCGUUAUCCGGAUUUACUGGGUGUAAAGGGAGCGCAGACGGCUCUGCAAGUCUGAAGUGAAAGCCCGCGGCUUAACCGCGGGACUGCUUUGGAAACUGCAAGGCUUGAGUAUCGGAGGGGCAGGCGGAAUUCCUAGUGUAGCGGUGAAAUGCGUAGAUAUAUGGAGGAACACCGGUGGCGAAAGCGGCUCUUCGGCUUGUAACUGACGCUGAGGCUCGAAAGCGUGGGGAGCAAACAGGAUUAGAUACCCCAGUAGUCCCUGUCUCUUAUAC